CAGCAGCCGCGGUAAUUCGGAGGGCGCAAGCGUUAUUCGGAUUUAUUGGGCGUAAAGGGCGUGUAGGCGGUUUGAAAAGUCAGGUGUGAAAGCCCUUGGCUUAACCAAGGAAGUGCACUUGAAACUUUCAGACUUGAGUACGGGAGGGGGAAGUGGAAUUCCUGGUGUAGAGGUGAAAUUCGCAGAUAUCAGGAGGAAUACCGGUGGCGAAGGCGACUUCCUGGACCGAUACUGACGCUGAGACGCGAAAGCGUGGGGAGCAAACAGGAUUAGAUACCCUGGUAGUCCACGCCGUAAACGAUGGGCACUAGGUGUAGCGGGUAUUGACCCCUGCUGUGCCGAAGUUAACGCAUUAAGUGCCCCGCCUGGGGAGUACGGCCGCAAGGUUGAAACUUAAAGGAAUUGACGG
rnacentral:rRNA from 1 species